UAGAAGGGGAUCGCCCAUAUUAAUGCAGUCCGAACGAUCCCUUCGGGAGAUAGUGGCGCACGGGUGCGUAACGCGUGGGAAUCUGCCCUUGGGUUCGGAAUAACGUCGGGAAACUGACGCUAAUACCGGAUGAUGACGUAAGUCCAAAGAUUUAUCGCCCAGGGAUGAGCCCGCGUAGGAUUAGCUAGUUGGUGGGGUAAAGGCCUACCAAGGCGACGAUCCUUAGCUGGUCUGAGAGGAUGAUCAGCCACACUGGGACUGAGACACGGCCCAGACUCCUACGGGAGGCAGCAGUAGGGAAUAUUGGACAAUGGGCGCAAGCCUGAUCCAGCAAUGCCGCGUGAGUGAUGAAGGCCUUAGGGUUGUAAAGCUCUUUUACCAGAGAUGAUAAUGACAGUAUCUGGGGAAUAAGCCCCGGCUAACUCCGUGCCAGCAGCCGCGGUAAUACGGAGGGGGCUAGCGUUGUUCGGAAUUACUGGGCGUAAAGCGCACGUAGGCGGCGAUUUAAGUCAGAGGUGAAAGCCCGGGGCUCAUCCCCGGAACUGCCUUUGAACUGGAUAGCUUGAAUCCGGGAGAGGUGAGUGCAAUUCCGAGAUGUAGAGGC
rnacentral:rRNA from 1 species